ACUAUGACCCACUACUGCCGAUAUUCUCUAUCUACUAACACAACAAUUCUACAAUCAAUAUCAUCAACAUUCCACCGUUACAAACCUCCAACGAUGAACUCUACCAUCAUCUACCAUCGUAUACAAUCUCCAUCACUAUUUAUCACUGUCGAUAGUCUUUACUACCAUAUGCCACCAUCGACAAUCUUCACAAUCAUCUACUAUUGCUCUCCACUAUCGUUGAUCUCCACCACUGCUCACCAUUAUCACUGCCAACCACCACCUACCAUCAUUGAUGGCCUCCACCACCACCUACAAAUAUCAAAGAUGGGUGGUGGAUGCUAAUGCAUAUAUGUUUAAAAAUGAUGCACACAUUAUAAGCUGUUGAUGCAUACGUAUUGAAUUGAAAAUCCUUUUUUAGAGAUAUGU
rnacentral:lncRNA from 1 species